rnacentral:rRNA from 1 species
UUGUAGGUGUCUGGGCGAGCCUGAUGGAGCACGCCGCGUGAGUGAAGAAGGUUUUCGGAUCGUAAAACUCUGUUGUAAGGGAAGAACAAGUACAGUAGUAACUGGCUGUACCUUGACGGUACCUUAUUAGAAAGCCACGGCUAACUACGUGCCAGCAGCCGCGGUAAUACGUAGGUGGCAAGCGUUGUCCGGAAUUAUUGGGCGUAAAGCGCGCGCAGGCGGUCCUUUAAGUCUGAUGUGAAAGCCCACGGCUCAACCGUGGAGGGUCAUUGGAAACUGGGGGACUUGAGUGCAGAAGAGGAAAGUGGAAUUCCAAGUGUAGCGGUGAAAUGCGUAGAGAUUUGGAGGAACACCAGUGGCGAAGGCGACUUUCUGGUCUGUAACUGACGCUGAGGCGCGAAAGCGUGGGGAGCAAACAGGAUUAGAUACCCCGGUAGUCA